CCAAAGGCUCUUUUCAGAGCCAAAAAAAUAAAAAAUAAAAAAAAAU
rfam:TPA: Bos taurus chromosome 13, whole genome shotgun sequence.